rnacentral:rRNA from 1 species
AGAGUUUGAUCCUGGCUCAGAUUGAACGCUGGCGGCGUGCUUAACACAUGCAAGUCGAACGAGAAAGGGACUUCGGUCCUGAGUAGAGUGGCGCACGGGUGAGUAACGCGUAGGUAAUCUACCUCUGCAUCUGGGAUAACACUUCGAAAGGGGUGCUAAUACCGGAUACACUCAUAGAUCGCAAGGUCUAUGAGGAAAGGAGACCUCUCCUUGGAAGUUUCUGUGUAGAGAUGAGCCUGCGUCCCAUUAGCUAGUUGGCAGGGUAAUGGCCUACCAAGGCGACGAUGGGUAGCGGGUCUGAGAGGAUGAUCCGCCACACUGGAACUGAAACACGGACCAGACUCCUACGGGAGGCAGCAGUGAGGAAUAUUGGACAAUGGGCGCAAGCCUGAUCCAGCGACGCCGCGUGAGUGAUGAAGGCCUUUGGGUCGUAAAGCUCUGUCAGCAGGGAAGAACGGCCGUGCGGUUAAUACCCGUGCGGAUUGACGGUACCUGCAGAGGAAGCACCGGCUAACUCCGUGCCAGCAGCCGCGGUAAUACGGAGGGUGCGAGCGUUAAUCGGAAUUACUGGGCGUAAAGGGCGCGUAGGCGGCCGAUCAAGUCAGGUGUGAAAGCCCACGGCUUAACCGUGUGAAGUGCAUCUGAAACUGGCCGGCUUGAGUAUCGGAGAGGAAAGUGGAAUUCCCGGUGUAGAGGUGAAAUGCGUAGAUAUCUGAAGGAACACCAGUGGCGAAGGCGACUUACUGGACUCAAACUGACGCUGAGGUACGAAAGCGUGGGUAGCAAACAGGAUUAGAUACCCUGGUAGUCC